CGUUUCUGCCCNUGAGAAGGAAAGCUUGGGGAGCGAACGGAUUAGAUACCCUGUUAGUCACGCCCGUAACGGUGGAUGCUGAUGUNNGGNCCCGUUCACGGUUUUCGUGUCGGAGCUACCGCGUUAGCAUCCCGCNUGGGGAGUACGCCGCAAAGGCUAAAACUCAAGAAAUGANNCGGGGGNCCGCACAAGCGGCGGAGCAUGCGGAUUAAUUCGAUGCACGCGAAAGAACCUUACCUGGGCUUGACAUGUCCCCGACGGUCGUAGAGAUACGGCUUCCCUUCGGGGCGGGUUCACAGGUGGUGCAUGGUCGUCGUCAGCUCGUGUCGUGAGAUGUUGGGUUAAGUCCCGCAACGAGCGCAACCUUCGCCCCGUGUUGCCAGCGGAUUAUGCCGGGAACUCACGGGGGACCGCCGGGGUUAACUCGGAGGAAGGUGGGGAUGACGUCAGAUCAUCAUGCCCCUUACGUCCAGGGCUUCACGCAUGCUACAAUGGCCGGUACAACGGGAUGCGACGCGGCGACGCGGAGCGGAUCCCUGAAAACCGGUCUCAGUUCGGAUCGCAGUCUGCAACUCGACUGCGUGAAGGCGGAGUCGCUAGUAAUCGCGAAUCAGCAACGUCGCGGUGAAUGCGUUCCCGGGCCUUGUACACACCGCCCGUCAAGUCAUGAAAGUGGGCAGCACCCGAAGCCGGUGGCCUAACCCCUUGUGGGAUGGAGCCGUCUAAGGUGAGGCUCGUGAUUGGGACUAAGUCGUAACAAGGUAGCCGUACCGGAAGGUGCGGCUG
rnacentral:rRNA from 1 species